GGGGGUAUAGUUUACUUGGUAAAACAUAUGCUUUGCACGCAUAAAAAAUUAGUUCGAUUCUAAUUACCUCCA
rnacentral:tRNA from 1 species